rnacentral:rRNA from 1 species
GACAGAGGGUGCAAACGUUGUUCGGAAUUACUGGGCGUAAAGCGCGUGUAGGCGGCCCUGCAAGUCGGAUGUGAAAUCCCACGGCUCAACCAUGGAAGUGCAUUCGAAACUGCAGAGCUAGAGUCCUGGAGAGGAAGGUGGAAUGCUUGGUGUAGAGGUGAAAUUCGUAGAUAUCAAGCGGAACACCGGUGGCGAAGGCGGCCUCUGGACAGUGACUGACGCUGAGACGACGAAAGCGGUGGGAGCAAACAGGG